rnacentral:rRNA from 1 species
GCGAACGAGGGGAAGUGAAACAUCUCAGUACCCGCAGGAAGAGAAAACAAUAGUGAUUCCGUGAGUAGUGGCGAGCGAAAGCGGAUGAGGCUAAACCAUGUGCGUGUGAUAGCCGGCGUGCGUUGCGUAUGUGGGGUUGUGGGAGCAUUCAGACACUAAUGCCGUGGUGUCAGGGAGUUAUAAAUCAUUGUUGAAGCUGAACCGGUUGGAAUGCCGGGCCGUAGUGGGUAAUGGCCCCGUAGGCGUAAGACAGUGACUUCCGAGUGUUUUCCCGAGUAGCACGGAACUCUUGAAAUUCCGUGUGAAUCUGGCGGGACCACCCGCUAAGCCUAAAUACUUCUUGGUGACCGAUAGUGUAUCAGUACCGUGAGGGAAUGGUGAAAAGUACCCCGGGAGGGGAGUGAAAGAGUACCUGAAACCGUGUGCUUACAAGCGGUCGGAGCUGCAUUUAUGCAGUGACGGCGUGCCUUUUGUAUAAUGAGCCUACGAGUUGCUCCUGUUGUGCGAGGUUAAGCCCCUAAGGGGUGGAGCCGUAGCGAAAGCGAGUCUGAAAUGGG